rnacentral:rRNA from 1 species
AGUGAACGCUGGCGGUAGGCCUAACACAUGUAAGUCGAACGGCAGCACAGUAAGAGCUUGCUCUUACGGGUGGCGAGUGGCGGACGGGUGAGGAAUACAUCGGAAUCUACUUUUUCGUGGGGGAUAACGUAGGGAAACUUACGCUAAUACCGCAUACGACAUACGGGUGAAAGCAGGGGAUCUUCGGACCUUGCGCGAUUGAAUGAGCCGAUGUCGGAUUAGCUAGUUGGCGGGGUAAAGGCCCACCAAGGCGACGAUCCGUAGCUGGUCUGAGAGGAUGAUCAGCCACACUGGAACUGAGACACGGUCCAGACUCCUACGGGAGGCAGCAGUGGGGAAUAUUGGACAAUGGGCGCAAGCCUGAUCCAGCCAUGCCGCGUGAGUGAAGAAGGCCUUCGGGUUGUAAAGCCCUUUUGUUGGGAAAGAAAAGCAGCAGGUUAAUACCCCGCUGUUCUGACGGUACCCAAAGAAUAAGCACCGGCUAACUUCGUG